rnacentral:rRNA from 1 species
AUGUACCUACGGGAGGCAGCAGUAGGGAAUUUUCGUCAAUGGGCGCAAGCCUGAACGAGCAAUGCCGCGUGAAUGAGGAAGGUCUUCGGAUCGUAAAGCUCUGUUGAAGGGGAAAAAGAGCGGAGAGAGGAAAUGAACUCCGAUUGAUAUUACCCUUCGAGGAAGUCACGGCUAACUACGUGCCAGCAGCCGCGGUAAUACGUAGGUGGCGAGCGUUAUCCGGAAUGAUUGGGCGUAAAGGGUGCGUAGGCGGCCUGCUAAGUCUGGAGUGAAAGGUACCGGCUCAACCGGUACAGGCUCUGGAA